rnacentral:rRNA from 1 species
UACGUAGGGUGCAGGCGUUAAUCGGAAUUACUGGGCGUAAAGCGUGCGCAGGCGGUUUGCUAAGAGAGAUGUGAAAUCCCCGGGCUUAACCUGGGAACUGCGUUUCUAACUGGCAGGCUUGAGUGUGGCAGAGGGGGGUGGAAUUCCACGUGUAGCAGUGAAAUGCGUAGAGAUGUGGAGGAACACCGAUGGCGAAGGCAGCCCCCUGGGCUAACACUGACGCUGAGGAGCGAAAGCGUGGGGAGCGAACAGG